rnacentral:lncRNA from 1 species
AGUUCCAGAUCAAGUUCAAAUUUUUGUUUUGGUCUGAUAUUUUUCUGCAUGUUAUGGUCCUUGGACUUGAAAAAUUCACUCAUAAAAUCAGUUAUUCACACUGUUUAUAGUCAUGCUUAAAUAUAAUGACUUGAUAUUUACUUUUUGUUUACACCAUGACAAGUUAUAGAACAAGUUAGCAUUUUGUACCAGUAUAAUGUAAUUUUUAUCCGGUAGGGGACUAUGUAUUGACAUGCAAUACUCUCAGAAUGCUUGUU